AAUUCUUCCUAAACCUUUGGUUGGAGUGGUCAGUCAAGAAAAAGUUGAGAAUUCUCAAGCAUUUAGUCUUGAUAAAAGCAACUUCCACUUUAUUCAUGGGGCUGUAACCAUACUAAUGGAUACCACAAUUUUGUUCUUUGGUGUGCUGCCAUGGUUUUGGAAGAGAUCUGGAGACUUUCUAGUGCACAUGGGCCUUAAUUCAGAGAAUGAAAUACUUCACACCCUUGCAUUCUUAGGAGGUGUUAUG